rnacentral:lncRNA from 1 species
GGAAUUUAGAGUGCUUCAAGUUCUUCAAAAUUUUUGGAUAGCUUUUUAACAUUCUGUAAAUAAUGAGCCAUUGUAGAAUUCUUGGUUUCAAAUUGAUCCCAGACUUGGCCGAUGACAAGUUGCGAGUCUGUAAAAAUCUUUAAUUUUCUGACUCUGAGUUCUUUUGCCAUUUUGAGAUCCACCGUUAGAGCUUUAUAUUCAGCACCAUUAUUGAAAGUGUUAAAAUUAAACCUUU